GCCCCUGUGGCGGAACUGGUAGACGCGUCGGAUUCAAAAUCCGAUUUCUUCGGAAGUGCCAGUUCGAGUCUGGCCAGGGGCA
rnacentral:tRNA from 2 species